rnacentral:rRNA from 1 species
UACGUAGGGUGCGAGCGUUAAUCGGAAUUACUGGGCGUAAAGCGUGCGCAGGCGGUUAUACAAGACAGUUGUGAAAUCCCCGGGCUUAACCUGGGAAUUGCAUCUGUGACUGUAUGGCUAGAGUGUGUCAGAGGGGGGUAGAAUUCCACGUGUAGCAGUGAAAUGCGUAGAUAUGUGGAGGAAUACCGAUGGCGAAGGCAGCCCCCUGGGAUAACACUGACGCUCAUGCACGAAAGCGUGGGGAGCAAACAGGAUUAGAAACCCUUGUAGU